UACGAAGGGGGCUAGCGUUGCUCGGAAUCACUGGGCGUAAAGCGCACGUAGGCGGAUCCUUAAGUCGGGGGUGAAAUCCUGGAGCUCAACUCCAGAACUGCCUUUGAUACUGAAGAUCUUGAGUUCGGGAGAGGUGAGUGGAACUGCGAGUGUAGAGGUGAAAUUCGUAGAUAUUCGCAAGAACACCAGUGGCGAAGGCGGCUCACUGGCCCGAUACUGACGCUGAAGCACGAAAGCGUGGGGAGCAAACAGG
rnacentral:rRNA from 1 species